rnacentral:lncRNA from 1 species
UGAAUUUAUCGGUGAAGGGAGGAAGGUCGCUACUAUUUGGAUAUUGAUAAAUAACAGAUAAUAGAAAGAAAAAAAAAUUACAAGUCAUGCAUGUCAAAAUUGUAUAGCUGAAGAUUCACAGCAUAAUUAUACAAUCACAACAAUUAUAGAGGAUAAAUGUGCGGUAUCUCUGUCCCUGCAAAAUCAUAUAACUCAAAUGAAAAUAACUACUUCCUCUACUACAUUUAUAAACAUUUUCGACAAAAUUGGAAAGGUAAAUGAACCAAAUUUUAGAGGACUGUAGGAUAAUUCAACUUCAAGAAUUCAUAAAUAUAAUCCUGUCCCCCCAAGAAAAGAACGGCGGAGCUUGGCUACUAUCAACAUCAUUUAAUAAGGUCUAAAUUUCCUGGCAGCUCUCAACUGUUGCAGCCGUUUCUUAUCCUCCUGAAAUUUGCUCUGCAAUUCCAUUAGCUCUGCAAGUAAAAGAUGAAUGGUUAAUCUCAGAUUAAUCAUCAAUCAAAAUUGAUUUUAAAUUUUACCAAGUAUAUUAAUCUAAGACAGCAUGUAUGGUUGAAACAAAACGGGGUAAAGCACGUGCCUUAAUAAAAAAUUUAUGGUGUUCCAACCAACAAGAUAACAUUCAUUUC